GAUGAGGAUGCCGAAAAUCAUAAAGAGAGUAGGCA
rnacentral:ncRNA from 1 species